rnacentral:rRNA from 1 species
GAUGAACGCUGGCGGCGUGCCUAAUACAUGCAAGUCGAGCGAACGGACGAGAAGCUUGCUUUUCUGAUGUUAGCGGCGGACGGGUGAGUAACACGUGGAUAACCUACCUAUAAGACUGGGAUAACUUCGGGAAACCGGAGCUAAUACCGGAUAAUAUUUUGAACCGCAUGGUUCAAAAGUGAAAGACGGUCUUGCUGUCACUUAUAGAUGGAUCCGCGCUGCAUUAGCUAGUUGGUAAGGUAACGGCUUACCAAGGCAACGAUGCAUAGCCGACCUGAGAGGGUGAUCGGCUACACUGGAACUGAGACACGGUCCAGACUCCUACGGGAGGCAGCAGUAGGGAAUCUUCCGCAAUGGGCGAAAGCCUGACGGAGCAACGCCGCGUGAGUGAUGAAGGUCUUCGGAUCGUAAAACUCUGUUAUUAGGGAAGAACAUAUGUGUAAGUAACUGUGCACAUCUUGACGGUACCUAAUCAGAAAGCCACGGCUAACUACGUG